AGAGUUUGAUCCUGGCUCAGAUUGAACGCUGGCGGCAUGCCUUACACAUGCAAGUCGAACGGGCUUUGGGGCUUGCUCCAAAGUUAGCGGCGAACGGGUGAGUAAUAUAUCGGAACGUACCCUUGAGUGGGGGAUAACAUAGCGAAAGUUAUGCUAAUACCGCAUACGAUCUAAGGAUGAAAGUGGGGGACCGCAAGGCCUCACGCUCCUGGAGCGGCCGAUAUCUGAUUAGCUAGUUGGUGAGGUAAAGGCUCACCAAGGCUUCGAUCAGUAGCUGGUCUGAGAGGACGAUCAGCCACACUGGGACUGAGACACGGCCCAGACUCCUACGGGAG
rnacentral:rRNA from 1 species